rnacentral:lncRNA from 1 species
UGGUGUUUGAAGGAGUCGACCGACUGUGUGUCGGUGCCUGGUUGAGGAAUGUCGGAUGAAAACCCAGGGACCCUCCGAUGGUCAGUCGGACGCGUUGCGGGAGUCGGAUAUCGGGCUCUACAGUUCGACCAGUCGGGAGCGAAGAGGGUCUGCCCGACCGACGUAUACCCGGUCGGUCGGUGUCGGCAGUCAUCGAUCAGCAGAGUCGGGCGC